rnacentral:rRNA from 1 species
CAAGUCGAACGAGCGAGAGAGAGCUUGCUUUCUCGAGCGAGUGGCGAACGGGUGAGUAACGCGUGAGGAACCUGCCUCAAAGAGGGGGACAACAGUUGGAAACGACUGCUAAUACCGCAUAAGCCCACGGGUCGGCAUCGACCAGAGGGAAAAGGAGUGAUCCGCUUUGAGAUGGCCUCGCGUCCGAUUAGCUAGUUGGUGAGGUAACGGCCCACCAAGGCGACGAUCGGUAGCCGGACUGAGAGGUUGAACGGCCACAUUGGGACUGAGACACGGCCCAGACUCCUACGGGAGGCAGCAGUGGGGAAUAUUGCACAAUGGGGGAAACCCUGAUGCAGCGACGCCGCGUGGAGGAAGAAGGUCUUCGGAUUGUAAACUCCUGUUGUUGGGGAAGAUAAUGACGAUACCCAACAAGGAAGUGACGGCUAACUACGUGCCAGCAGCCGCGGUAAAACGUAGGUCACAAGCGUUGUCCGGAAUUACUGGGUGUAAAGGGAGCGCAGGCGGGAAGACAAGUUGGAAGUGAAAUCCAUGGGCUCAACCCAUGAACUGCUUUCAAAACUGUUUUUCUUGAGUAGUGCAGAGGUAGGCGGAAUUCCCGGUGUAGCGGUGGAAUGCGUAGAUAUCGGGAGGAACACCAGUGGCGAAGGCGGCCUACUGGGCACCAACUGACGCUGAGGCUCGAAAGUGUGGGUAGCAAACAGGAUUAGAUACCCUGGUAGUCCACACCGUAAACGAUGAUUACUAGGUGUUGGAGGAU